rnacentral:rRNA from 1 species
AUUGAACGCUGGCGGAAUGCUUUACACAUGCAAGUCGGACGGCAGCAUAGGUGCUUGCACCUGAUGGCGAGUGGCGAACGGGUGAGUAAUACAUCGGAACGUGCCCAGUCGUGGGGGAUAACGUAGCGAAAGUUACGCUAAUACCGCAUACGAUCUAAGGAUGAAAGCGGGGGACCGUAAGGCCUCGCGCGAUUGGAGCGGCCGAUGUCAGAUUAGGUAGUUGGUGAGGUAAAGGCUCACCAAGCCGACGAUCUGUAGCUGGUCUGAGAGGACGACCAGCCACACUGGGACUGAGACACGGCCCAGACUCCUACGGGAGGCAGCAGUGGGGAAUUUUGGACAAUGGACGCAAGUCUGAUCCAGCCACUCCGCGUGCAGGACGAAGGCCUUCGGGUUGUAAACUGCUUUUGUACGGAACGAAAAAGCUCUUACUAAUACUAGGAGUCCAUGACGGUACCGUAAGAAUAAGCACCGGCUAACUACGUGCCAGCCGCCGCCGUAA